AAAAGCUAAAGUUUUUGAAGUGCUACUGCAGUGAACACAUAAGUGAUAAAGCAAAACAGCCUUAUUGCUGGUAUGGAGAAAGUUUGAGUGGUCUGGAUAGAAGAUCAAGCCAG